rnacentral:tRNA from 1 species
GCGAGUGUAGCUCAGGGGUANNGGUAGAGCACAACCUUGCCAAGGUUGGGGUCGAGGGUUCAAAUCCCUUCACUCGCUCCA